GAUCCUGGCUCAGAUUGAACGCUGGCGGCAUGCCUUACACAUGCAAGUCGAACGGUAACAGGCCGCAAGGUGCUGACGAGUGGCGGACGGGUGAGUAACACGUGAGAAUUUGCCUUUAGGAGGGGGAUAACAAUUGGAAACGAAUGCUAAUACCCCAUAUGCUUUUGAGUGAAAUGGAUUUUAUCCGCCUAGAGAGAAGCUCGCGGCUGAUUAGCUUGUUGGUAAGGUAAGAGCUUACCAAGGCGACGAUCAGUAUCUGGUUUGAGAGGACGAUCAGACACACUGGGACUGAGACACGGCCCAGACUCCUACGGGAGGCAGCAGUGGGGAAUUUUGGACAAUGGGCGCAAGCCUGAUCCAGCAAUGCCGCGUGCAGGAAGAAGGCCUUCGGGUUGUAAACUGCUUUUGUACGGAGCGAAAAGGCCCUCUCUAAUACAGGGGGUUCAUGACGGUACCGUAAGAAUAAGCACCGGCUAACUACGUG
rnacentral:rRNA from 1 species